UAGCCACAAACCGAGAAAUAGCCUGGGCGGUCCCUCCCCGGCGUUUGAAAGGCGCGCCGGUCCGUCAAGCGCGGCCGAGGGUGCAGCACCCAGCGUGACGUCACACCAACGUUGCUCUCGGGAGAUCCUUCAUUUUAUUUCCGAGCUUGCGGUGAUUUUACUCCACCAUUCCGCCAUCCGGCCGUCGAUAUUGAUGGAUGAAUGCCGUCCCCAGCGAGAAGUGUCAGCGCGGGAGAGGCAGGGCCCCCAGCGAGGCGGCGAAAAACGGAAAUGAAAUAGACGGGUCGCGAUUCUGGCAUCGGUCGUCAGUCUAGUGGCGGCUCAGCUGUAAGUGCAAAGCCGUCUGCAACGUCAAGUGAAUUUUGCGUUUUUUUACGUUUAAUGUCAGUCCUUCUGCGUCAGACUACAGUGUUUGUGUACCAAGGGCCAAGGCGACGUCUCUAAAGGUAACGUGUGCCACAGUUUCCUCAGGUAUUUUUGUUUACGUUAUUUUUAUGUAGACACAUAGGUAAUGUAUACAGAAGCGUGUUUGUUUGUUUGUUUGUUUGUUUAUGCAUAGGUAUAGAACUGGAGUGUUGGAUGUUUAUAUAUUUGUUUGUUUAUGUAUUUAUUUAAUCUCUCCUCUUUGCCUAUUUUUUAAAAGCAUAUAUUCUCUUUUUCCUCGUCCCAUUUUCUGCUUGACAUCAUAUUCUUUCAACCACACAUCCUCAUCAU
rnacentral:lncRNA from 1 species